GCAUAAUGUCACACGAUAUAGCACUGUACAAAAAUAAAUGGAUAAUAGUUAGAGAAAAUAUUGGGGUUUAUAAAUGUCUAUAAACUUUCUCUAGUGCAAAAAUUCAUUUUUAUUGCAAUUACUUCUAAUUGAGCUAGAAAUUAUGCACGCUUAUUAUUUCAUUAAGGAAUCAUUUUCUUCAUUUCUUGGCCAUUUUCUUCUUCCUUGAUUAGCAUAAUUUAAGUAAUAUAAGUUUUAUUUUUCCAUUUUGAGGAUAAGACAAUAUCAUUUUGUGUUACAUAAUAUUAAACUAUGUUUCAUGAUUUGCAUUCAAGUAGAGAUAACCUUACCAA
rnacentral:misc_RNA from 1 species